CAGUCGCCACGGUAAUACGGAGGGGGCUAGCGUUGUUCGGAAUUACUGGGCGUAAAGCGCACGUAGGCGGCUUUGUGAGUUAGAGGUGAAAGCCCGGAGCUCAACUCCGGAAUUGCCUUUAAGACUGCAGAGCUAGCAGGUGAGAGAGGUGAGUGGAAUUCCGAGUGUAGAGGUGAAAUUCGUAGAUAUUCGGAAGAACACCAGUGGCGAAGGCGGCUUACUGGCUCAUACUGGACGCUGAGGUGCGAAAGCGUGGGGAGCAAACAGGACUAGAUACCCGUGUAGUCCCUGUCUCUUAUAC
rnacentral:rRNA from 1 species